UGUCACAAGGUGACGAUCUUUAGGGGCGGAACCAAAAUUCGGGAAGUUUGGUUCCGCCCGGAAGUGUUUCCGCCCGGACCGGAAAAACAGAACACCGGAACUUCCGGUAGCGCCGUAAGAAGGAAAAUCAGGGAAUUCGAUGCACCUGUGCCUAGUUAGGGACAGCGGUUGGUGAUUGGAGGAUACGCUGGACAAGGCAGUACUUAAGGCCAAGUUAUUUCACAGUCUGGGAGCUCUUUCUGGUGUGUGUGAAGCACUGUGUUGUGCCCGUCUUGGUGCGCUGCUGGUGGCUGUCUAACUCUCUCUCUCCCUCAGGCUGGAAUUGUAUGAUUGUGAAGACAUCGCGAACCUUAAAGGUUGAGAAGUGAACGGAUUAUACGGCGAACUGAGACGACGUGAAAAAGGGGAUUGGAAGCGGCAUUGAUGUGAGUACUAAGAGCCAGUCGAAAGUGCCCUGUAUAUUGACCUGGCGUUGUGUAGAUCUCUCCAGGAGGAGGAGGGCGGCCCUACCCCUAAUAUAGCGUGGUGGGAGAGCCGAAGGAAUACUUAUUGAAGUAGUCACAACGACGACAUCACUAGCUAGGCCGCAUAUUCCAUCGCCAGAUCCGAACCAAGCGAAGUGAAGGAAGACGGGUGUCCUUUUCGUACACUGAGUGUGGUGGGUGAGUCUUCGUGCUGUGAAAACCUAUAAUUUUGACGUGGUGUUGUAUAUUGCUGUGGGCUGCUGUGUAUUGCCGUGUGUCCUGUCAGAUAAACCCCCGCCUUCACGCACUUCGUCGCGGGAGGACAAGGAGACUGCUGGUCCUAGCCUAGUUCAGUACAGUAUAUGUUGUGAGCGUGCUUCAGAUCUCCGGAGAUAGCACGGUACGCUGUGUCCAGCCCAGAGGUGAAAGCCAUCCAAAGCAGAGUAACUGUGCUUUGUGUCCAAGUUGAUACCUGUGGAGAGGAAAGGAAAGAGAGAUUGAUACCUGUGGAGAGAAAAGGAGAGAGAGUGAAUAACACGAGGAGGAAUAGAGCGAAACCUGUACUUACAGUACGCUGUGUUCAGCCCAGAGGUGAGAGCCAUUCAAAGCAAACUAACUGUGAUAUUGUGCCCAAGUUGAUACCUGUGGAGAGAAUAGGAAAGAGAGAGUGAGUAACACAAGGAGAAACAGAGGAAACCUGUACUUACAGU
ensembl:lncRNA